CUUGGUCAUUUAGAGGAAGUAAAAGUCGUAACAAGGUUUCCGUAGGUGAACCUGCGGAAGGAUCAUUCAUAAUAAGUGUUUUAUGGCACUUUUUAAAUCCAUAUCCACCUUGUGUGCAAUGUCAGUCGAUCUUCUUCAUGGAGAUCGACCAAACAUCAACCUUUAUUUUUUAACUCUUUGUCUGAAAAAUAUUACGAAUAAACAAUUCAAAAUACAACUUUCAACAACGGAUCUCUUGGCUCUCGCAUCGAUGAAGAACGCAGCGAAAUGCGAUACGUAAUGUGAAUUGCAGAAUUCAGUGAAUCAUCGAAUCUUUGAACGCAUAUUGCGCUCUUUGGUAUUCCGAAGAGCAUGCUUGUUUGAGUAUCAGUAAACACCUCAAAGCUUUUGGAUUUUUUAAUCGAAAAGCUUUGGACUUGAGCAAUCCCAACACCAAUCUUUUUGAGAUCGGUGGCGGGUUGCUUGAAAUGCAGGUGCAGCUGGACAUUCUCCUGAGCUAAAAGCAUAUUCAUUUAGUCCCGUCAAACGGAUUAUUACUUUUGCUGCAGCUAACAUAAAGGGAGUUUGACCGUAUUGGCUGACUGAUGCAGGAUUUCACAAGGGUCGGCAACGAUUCUUGUUAAACUCGAUCUCAAAUCAAGUAAGACUACCCGCUGAACUUAAGCAUAUCAAUAAGCGGAGGA
rnacentral:rRNA from 1 species